UGUAUGGAAAAGCUGAAGUCUGGGUUUUGUAUCAGUUUUGGAAACUCCAAUGUUACACGGCUUUUUGAAGGAGAGCCUGGCCAUUUAGUUCCCUCAGCCUCUCACUUUCUUGUGGAGAGUGAUAUGUUCCUUGUGGCAGGCAGAAUGGUUAGCCACUCCUUUCUUUAUGGAGGACCUUGCUUGUCUGGACUCAGCCCUGCUGUUCUUCAUGUCCUGCUUGGUGGGAGCCCUGAAACUGUAACAGUUACACUAGAGGACUGCCCAGACCUGGACAUUAGAGAGACAAUCAAGCUUCUUGAAGGGGAAGCAAAACUCUGUGAUGCUGAAAGAACGAGUGUCCAGGAUUUGGCUUAUGCCUGGGACCUCCCUUCCCUGACUGAGAAUAAUCGA